UAAGUGAUGGCGACCGGCGCACGGGUGAGUAACACGUAUCCAACCUGCCGAUAACUCGGGGAUAGCCUUUCGAAAGAAAGAUUAAUACCCGAUGGUAUAAUAAAGCCGCAUGGUUUACUUAUUAAAGAAUUUCGGUUAUCGAUGGGGAUGCGUUCCAUUAGGCAGUUGGUGAGGUAACGGCUCACCAAACCUUCGAUGGAUAGGGGUUCUGAGAGGAAGGUCCCCCACAUUGGAACUGAGACACGGUCCAA
rnacentral:rRNA from 1 species